rnacentral:sRNA from 1 species
GGAAGGUAGUUCGUUUGGUGCAGAGCGUAAGUCUACGCCUUACUUGAAUGUUCGGUACAUGUUAGUGUGUGUGUUUGUUAUGUGAACGUAUAUCAUGCCAUGUAUGUGUUUGCCGACGUCGGUCACGCCAAAUCUGGAUUUUCUAUGCUUAAUAAUUGUUAAAGUUGCGAGAAAGGUGGUUAAAUCAUAAAUUUGUGAAAACAAUUUAAUUGGGGGUUGCUUUCAUUCGACGGACAACAAAAACAGCUGAUUUCCUUAUGUUUUUGUCAAAAGGGAUAGAGCACACUCUAAUCGACAAAAAAUAUCCAUCCAUAGAAGUUUAUUAUCCAUAUAGAUAUAUAUUGAAUUGGAAAACGGCGCUGAGGUCGGAAGAUAACAUAUGAGGAUCUAGAUUUCGUGAAACUGCUUAGAUUGACCAUGUCUCCGUCAAUGAAGAGAAGUUUAUAUUGGAAACGACAAUUUUUCUAUUUUUUCCGAAGGAUGAUAUCAUUAAAUAAAAACCAGCAAGGAAGAGCAAAAGUCGGGCGGUGCCGACUGUAUAAUACCCUACACCUACCCUUUAAGUAUA